rnacentral:rRNA from 1 species
UACGUAGGGUGCGAGCGUUGUCCGGAAUUAUUGGGCGUAAAGGGCUCGUAGGCGGUUUGUCGCGUCGGGAGUGAAAACUCAGGGCUUAACCCUGAGCCUGCUUCCGAUACGGGCAGACUAGAGGUAUGCAGGGGAGAACGGAAUUCCUGGUGUAGCGGUGAAAUGCGCAGAUAUCAGGAAGAACACCCGUGGCUAAGGCGGCUCUCUAGUACGGUACUGACGCUGAGACGCGAAAGCGUGGGGAGCGAACAGG